AUGGUGGUGCGGGGCCAGCAAGAUCUGGACAUCAACAUCGUCCGCUGGGGGCUCCACCACCUCCUCGACGGCGGCGCCUCUCCCGGCGGCGGCGGCUGCGUGCACCGCCCUCAAUCCCCCACCACCGACUACGCCCCGCCGCCGCCGCAGCCCCACCGCGCCCGCGCCCUUCUCGACGGCUACGACAUGGCCCCCGCACCCGCCCCCGAGGUCAGGGUCGACGCGGUCGAGAACGACGAGGUCAUCGCGCACGCGCUGCAGGAGGAGCUCGCGCAGGUCGCCAUGGCCGAGGCGUCCGGGGCCGUCGGCGGCAGCGAGCCCGAGCGCCGCGCCACCGUCCUCGCGCAGCAGUGGUUCCGCCCCGAGGUCGUCAGCCAUCUGCCCUCAGCACCGCCGUAUGUAGAAGAAGCAGAGGGCUCAAGUCCACGUUCGAGCCCCGAAGAAGAUCGCAAUGCGCGCGACGGCCACGGGUGCUCGAUAGAGCUCGUGGACGAUUUCUCUGCUCUCGACGGCGAAGUCGGCAAAAGACUGAAUGACAUGGUCCCUGUCCCUCAUGUCCCUAAAACAAACGGAGACAUUCCUUCUUUUGAUGAAGCCUUUUCAGAUCACCGAAGACUUCUUGACAGGUUGGUGCUGUAUGGUCUGGUUGAGCUCAAGGUUAACGGAGAUGGCAAUUGUCAGUUUCGGGCAUUGUCUGAUCAAUUCUACCGAACUCCUGAACACCAUAGAUUUGUACGGCAACAAGUGGUCAAUCAGCUUCAGUCUCAUCCUGAGAUAUAUGCUGGAUAUGUCCCUAUGGAUUACAGAGAAUAUCUUAAGAAGAUGCCAAAGAAUGGAGAGUGGGGUGACCAUGUUACACUGCAGGCUGCUGCAGACUUGUAUGGUGUGAAGAUUUUCAUCCUAACAUCAUUCAGAGAUACAUGCUACAUUGAAAUUCUCCCAGUCGUUCAAAAAUCAAAUAGAGUUAUAUGUUUGAGUUUUUGGGCCGAGGUGCACUACAACUCGAUAUAUCCGGAAGGAGAGUUGCCCAUCGUGGAGAACAGAAAGAAGAGCUUGUCGGAUCGACGGUCGUUUUGUUCGACCAUGUGA
rnacentral:rRNA from 1 species